AAUGAAAUUGGAGAUGAAGUUCUCCAUGAUUAAAUAUCAAAACUGCUUUAUGCUAAUGACUUCUACACUAAG
rfam:Sneathia amnii strain SN35, complete genome.